rnacentral:rRNA from 1 species
UACGGGAGGCAGCAGUAGGGAAUCUUCGGCAAUGGGCGAAAGCCUGACCGAGCAACGCCGCGUGAGCGAUGAAGGCCUUCGGGUCGUAAAGCUCUGUUGUUAGGGAAGAACAAGUACCGUUCGAACAGGGCGGUACCUGACGUACCUA